UACGUAGGGGCCGAGCGUUGUCCGGAGUUACUGGGCGUAAAGGGCUCGUAGGCGGCCAACUAAGUCAGACGUGAAAUCCCUCGGCUUAACCGGGGAACUGCUUCUGAUACUGGAUGGCUUGAGAUUGGGAGAGGGAUGCGGAAUUCCAGGUGUAGCGGUGAAAUGCGUAGAUAUCUGGAGGAACACCGGUGGCGAAGGCGGCAUCCUGGACCAACACUGACGCUGAGGAGCGAAAGCCAGGGGAGCAAACGGG
rnacentral:rRNA from 1 species